AUUAGUCCGUUGCAUCAUUCUCUCGAUAGUUUGUCCACUAUAUUGUGAAGGACGAUGUCGAAAGUUGUGGCAGUAGUGAUGGUUCUUAGUUUGAUGAUGACCACCUCGGCCGAACACCAGGAGCGAGUAGUGGUAGCUACUCCAAUAGAAGGAACUAGUCAAGGACGGGUGCGCUAUUCGGUAACUCCGACGUACUCUACUACAUCACCGUCACUCGAUGGUGCACAUCCACAUUGUGGGGGUCGUGACCCAAAAAAUUGUCCUCCGCCUCCUGCAUGGUGACAAGUUGUAUUUUUUGCCAUGCUUGCUAUGCUGAAUAAAACAUCGUCCAUGCUAUUGUUUUCUUAGGAGAGUUCUAAUACUACAUUUCUUCGACUUUAACUUUUUUCGCGAAUACGCAAAGAUUGCGUAUCAUUCCAUUGAUAGGUAGAGAGAGUUUAUAUACAAGUGUGUGCUAUUCUUGUGGCCGUACACAGUUAGCUGGCGGCACCAAGAGAGCAAGUGAGCAGAAAGAGAGGUUGUUCAGCCUAACAUGCAAAAUUCGAUCCAGUCCUUUUGCGCCGGCCUUGGCCCAGCGCACAGCCUCGUGCUGAAUGGUCGCCAUGAGGUGGGUAUGGGAUGGAGAUGCUCCGUCGAAGAGGACGGCAUUCCGAUGCUUCCAAGUACUCUAUGCCAUGAGGAUGAUCAGAGAGUUGACACCUUUCCGUAAACCUGCCGGGGAGGUGGCAGCGGCGGUCUCCCACCACCUGAAGAAGCUGGUGGUUCCGUCUAUUGGUGCAAUGGGCAGCCGGCACCAUGCAAGCACCUCAUGCCAGGAUAUGCGCGCUAGCACGCAUCCAACAAGCAAGUGGUCGAUGGUCUCGUCUGCUUGGUUACAGAGCUUGCAGUUGGGGUCGUGGGGUAGCCCGUGUCUCGCGCGUCGCUCUGCUGUCCAGCAACGGUUGAGGGCAGCAAGCCAUAAGAAGAUUUUUGCAUUCGAGGGCGCCCAGGUCCUCCAAAUGAGUCACCAGAAUGGUGCCGUGGUGGAGCCGUGGAACAUGAGCUCGCCGUGUAGAUUCCAUUGGGAGUCCAUUUCCAGGAUAACUUGUCGGGGUUGGCACAUAGGGAGACGCCCUGCAGCUGCUGCCAUAACUCGACAUACUUGACGAUGGCUCCGGGGUCGAGCGUGCCAUGGAUGUCGGAGAUCCAGGUAUUGUUUGUCAGUGCUUCACUGACGAGUCGUCGUUUGCGUCGUCGGCGCGGAAUGAGAGAGCUCAGCGUAGGGGCCAACUCCGUGAUGGAAUGGCCGUUGAGCCAAUGAUCAGACCAAAACGGCAAGUGUUUCCGUCGCCAAGGGUCCAUGUGGUGGAAGCGCGAAAGAAUUCCAAGGUCUCGCGGUCGUGCGGGAGGUGUAGGUGUUUCCACGGGCGCUCCUGGUCACUGGCUUGAAGCCAAAGCCACCGGGUUCGCAGCGACACGCCGCUGCGCUGGAUGUCGCGAAUGGCUAGCCCGCCAUAGGCUAGAGGGCGGCAGACACGGGCCCAGGAGACUGGACAACAGCCUCCAUUGACAUCCCGCCGUCCAAACCAAAGGAAGUCUCGGAUGAGCUUGGUGAUCCGCUUGAGGAUGGGAGGGGCGAUCUCCAUCGCAAGGAAGUCUCGGACUUUAACUUUUCUCUCG
rnacentral:lncRNA from 1 species